rnacentral:lncRNA from 1 species
CAUCAGAUCAAUUCAGGCUGGUGUCCUAGCUCAGCCAUUUAACUGUCACCUUGGGAAACUUGCUUGCUGUCUUUGAGCUGCUUUCUUUAUCUGCACAUUAGGGAUUCUAAUCUCUACAGUGAAAAAGGUUACAAUAAAUAUUGUCCAUAUAUGGACAUAACUUAGCACAGUAGCAAGACCACAGUAGGUGCACCACAAACAGUAGUUUUGGCAGUUCUCUAUCUCCCCCAAAGACCCCUGCCUACCACCCUUCUGCUGCAUAGGACAGCAUUUCUGCAUGAUCUUCAUACAAGGCAGCAACAAGGACCUGUGGGACGACGUUUGUCUGGGAGUGGAGAUGAGGCCCAAUGAGAGUCGGUGGCGUGUCUGAGGCUUACCGGUCCUUGAAGAGCAGGAGCUCCUUCCCCAGCAUUGUCACAGCGUCAAAGGAUGAGCUGGAGUCACAGAGGCAUCCAGGAAAAACUGAGCGAGUUCUUGUGAAACUGAAGUACACUGAAGGUGUUUGCUAUUUAAAGGUAUCUUCUGGUGGAUCGUCUUGGAAAACAUGGACCCAAAUCUUGCGAGAGCUAUCAGUGAGUCUCCUCUCCUGCUCUGCAUCUCUCAGGACUGUGUCCCAGCUCCAGAAGAAUGAGCCUGCACAGCUUGGACUGUCACCUCUGGCAGGUUCCUGCUCUUUGAUGAAGCCUCGUCAUAAUUACAGGUGUUUGAAAGUUCCUCCAUUGAUCUUCUCUCUCCUGCUGCCUUGUCAAGAAGGUGCCUGCUUCCCCUUUGCC